AAUGACAAGUAUGACAUUGCGGCGCCGCCACGAACUAAAACUAAUAUUUUCAAUUUGGUGGAAUAUCAUUGCAUUCAAAAUUUGACGAGUGCAUUCACCAUGUUUUUAGACAUCUUAGUUGUGGACUAAAUUGAUUUCAGUGAUUUUUUUGUGUUUAUCUGUUAAUACUCAUUUGAACUGUGUUUUAAAAUAUUAGCAAAUUUAAUUGCUCUGUGAUAUUCCUGAUUCCUGUUAGUACGGAAAUAACGUUCAACAUGAAUGAAGUCAACGAUAAUCUGACCUGUGACAUUUGCAAAACGAAAUUCUCCAGCGUGUGGGUGAAAAAUCGUCAUUUAAAAGAUAUUGACCAUGUAGAAGCGAAAAAAUCAGAAAGCAGAAAAUCAACAGUUCAUAUGAAGUGUCCUAUUUGCCCGAAGAACUGUGGAAAAUGACGAAUUGGAAAGGAUUAAUGUACUUACCAGAGGAGAUCUUGCCUAUUUGAUUAGAAAAUUCAACAUUGAUAAAAGAAGACAUGAUGAUGAUAUGGUAGAAAUAGCAUUAAAAGUUAAGGAAUGGAAUAGUGAAGGAAAAAAUGAUGUUUUUCUAUUUAAACAAAUAGGAGAAGCCUAUGUCAGAUUGAAGGAUGAAGAUUUUGCUUUAGAUAUAUGAAUGACAACAUGGAAAGAAAGCUGAAAUGGUUCAAAAAAAUUAUAUGCAUAGAUGGGACACAUGGAACCAAUGCAAGAAACUAUGAUCUUACCAUAGUUCUAAUUCUAGGUCCCCACCUCUUAGGAAAAAAAAUGCUUGUUGUGACCUUUUUAUUUGAGGAUUCAGAUCAGUAUAAUGUUGUUUUCAGUUAUGUACAUAGAUUUUGCUAAAAGAGAACUUAUUUAAACGUAAACCUCUCAUUCAAUGCAACUAGUAUCUUUCAAAAUGUUGGAUGUGAAUAAUUUUAAAUAUAUAUGAAGCUAUGGAGUUGGCGCUUCUGAGAUUUUUGUGAGUAACAAAAGUAAUUUAAUAGAUAAUUAAUUUCAAGAAUGCUUGGUGAAGGUGGAAUACAAGAAUUGCAAUAACUCCAUAAGAAAUUAAGGUUUUUCUCAAUAUAUAUAAUCUGACUAACAAUUUUUUUAGCAAUUCUGAAAAAAUUUGAACUACUACAUGCUGCGAUUACUGGCUACAGCUCUAGGAAUGUGGCAAAACUUAUUUUUCAUUUGAAAAACAAAAACAGAUUCAACUACCAAAAAUUGAAACCCUUAGAAAAUCGAAAUGUAAAUAUAUUAAUUUCUAGAUUCUCAUUAUCACUAGUUGGUGGCAUUUCUAUUUUGAAUUCUCAAAAAUGUUUUACAAAUGCACUAAUUAUUUUUUGUAUUCACUCGCUUAUUAACAAAGUGCCCCAAUGUUCAAUAAUUAAUAAUUUCAAUACAUGUUAGUGAUUUCUAAUUUUUUUUUCUAGUAUUUUGAAUUUUCUGCUUCGAAAAUAUAUAUAUUUAUAUAA